UCUUUCCCAAGAAAGGUGAGCCCAAUGUGAAAGCAAUAGUCUACAAAUGAAAUUAACUCCUGAAGGUUACAAAACACUUCAAUACCACCGCGAAUCCGCGAUUAUCAGUGCUGAAACAGCAUUAACACAAAAUUAGAAAUAACAUGAUGCCUGAUUUAUAGCCUACCACAACAUUUCAAUAGCCUACUAAUUCAAAAAUUAUUAUGAGCUAAUAGCUUAACUUAGUAGGCUCAAUGUUAUAUAGGUUCAUGAGGAAAGGCUGUCAAAUUAGUAGCAAAGCUAACUUGUGAAACGCAUCACACUCAGUUAGCUAUAGAUAGCUAUAGCUGUUCUCUCAGCCAAAAGUGUUUUCAUUCAUUUCAUGUUCUAGCUUUUAAACAUUCUUCAAAUAAAACAGAAAUUCAGUGAA